rnacentral:rRNA from 1 species
UAGGGAAUAUUGGGCAAUGGACGCAAGUCUGACCCAGCCAUGCCGCGUGCAGGAUGAAGGCCUUCUGGGUUGUAAACUGCUUUUACCAGGGAAGAAAAAACUCAUGCGUGAGGAACUGACGGUACCUGGUGAAUAAGCACCGGCUAACUCCGUGCCAGCAGCCGCGGUAAUACGGAGGGUGCAAGCGUUGUCCGGAUUUAUUGGGUUUAAAGGGUGCGUAGGCGGCCUAUUAAGUCAGUGGUGAAAGCCAACAGCUCAACUGUUGAACUGCCAUUGAUACUGAUAGGCUUGAGUACAGACGAGGUAGGCGGAAUUGAUGCUGUAGCGGUGAAAUGCAUAGAUAGCAUCAAGAACACCGAUUGCGUAGGCAGCUUACUAGGCUGUAACUGACGCUGAGGCACGAAAGCGUGGGGAGCGAACA